rnacentral:rRNA from 1 species
UACGUAGGGUGCAAGCGUUGUCCGGAAUUAUUGGGCGUAAAGAGCUCGGUAGGCGGCUCGUCACGUCGGCUGUGAAAACCCGGGGCUCAACCCCGGGCCUGCAGUCGAUACGGGCGAGCUAGAGUUCGGCAGGGGAGACUGGAAUUCCUGGUGUAGCGGUGAAAUGCGCAGAUAUCAGGAGGAACACCGGUGGCGAAGGCGGGUCUCUGGGCCGAUACUGACGCUGAGGAGCGAAAGCGUGGGGAGCGAACAGG